UACGUAGGGUGCAAGCGUUGUCCGGAAUUAUUGGGCGUAAAGAGCUCGUAGGUGGCUUGUCGCGUCUGCCGUGAAAGCCCGUGGCUUAACUACGGGUCUGCGGUGGAUACGGGCAGGCUAGAGGCUGGUAGGGGCAAGCGGAAUUCCUGGUGGAGCGGUGAAAUGCGCAGAUAUCAGGAGGAACACCCGUAGCGAAGGCGGCACUCUGGGCCGAUACUGACACUGAGGAGCGAAAGCGUGGGGAGCGAACAGG
rnacentral:rRNA from 1 species